rnacentral:snoRNA from 1 species
AAGACUAUACUUUCAGGGAUCAUUUCUAUAGUUUGUAACUAGAGAAGUGCAGCCGAAAGUGAUUGGUCUCGCUAACCACGAGGA